UGUUUUGCAGGUUAUCUUCCGAGCAACGGCUCUUAUCCGUUCCUGGUCGCUACUCACUCCGACGGAGGCCAGGGAGCUUUUGGUUACUGCUGCUAUCCGAUGGGAGAUGGUAGCUCGGGAUAUAUUCAGCCGGUUUGGAUGGCGGUCGUGUAACAGGAUAGGCAAUUAGUUUACCUGUCUAUUUUGGAGCCAAACGGCUGUGAUGUAUAAGUGCUUUGGCUAGCUUGUGUAUCUAGCCUUCGGGCUCUGUGUGAGCCUUUUCUUACUUUUCUUGUUGACAACCUUGAGACUUGAAGACUUUGUGGACUAUUUUAUGCUUAAUAAGAUGGCCGUAUGCAUCAUGCUGAUGCAGAGGCCGGGGAAGCCCCC
rnacentral:rRNA from 1 species